rnacentral:rRNA from 1 species
UACGUAGGGGGCAAGCGUUGUCCGGAUUUAUUGGGCGUAAAGAGCGUGUAGGCGGCUUUACAGGUCCGUUGUGAAAACUCGAGGCUCAACCUCGAGACGCCGGUGGAAACCGUAAAGCUAGAGUCCGGAAGAGGAGAGUGGAAUUCCUGGUGUAGCGGUGAAAUGCGCAGAUAUCAGGAGGAACACCAGUGGCGAAGGCGGCUUUCUGGACGGUUACUGACGCUGAGACGCGAAAGCGUGGGGAGCAAACAGG